GGAAUAUAAGAAACCGUCUCUUAACUUUUAAUUAAAAAACUAAGAAGCUUAAAUAUUUAAGAGCAUAUUCUUAGAUUUUUUAGUUAAAAGUUAAGUGACGGUUUCUUAUAUUCC
rfam:Brassica napus, WGS project CCCW01000000 data, contig: 35049